AAAUGUAUAAAAAAUUAUUGCUAUAUUAAAACUUGUUCAAUGCUUUGGUAACGAAUUAUAUUAUUGCCAAAUCAAAAUUUGACAUUCUUUUUGUGUACCUAGCUGGCUCAAUGUCCCCAUAGCAAAUAAUGACAAAAAUACAAAAAACUAAAAUAUUAUUAACUUAAUAAAAUCAUCCACUACAUAAUCAUUCAUUAUCUUUACAAUUAACCAUCUAAAACUACCACAGUUCUUCAAUCAAAGUAUAUAUCUACAUAUAUAGAGAGAGUACACUUCAUAAUUUCGUCCCUUGUCUUCCGUAAACGUAGCACGGAAAUUUGAUACCCAGUAUUGUAAGACAGGUCGUAGAAACAGUCUUUCUGCACAUAUUUAAAAAUAAUAGCAAGUCAAAAAAAUGAAUCAAAUAGAUCACCAGAGGCACUUUUUCUUAGACAACUCAAGAAAAUUACAAUCACAGUAAUUUGGGGACAACAAAUUUUAAAAAUGAAAAAUAAAAAGAGGUCCUUAUAUCAAUAAAUGCAACUGGCCCCUUUAUUCAAAGAAAACAUAAUAUGAGUACAAUAACUAAAAUGCACUGAUUAAUAUCAUGUUCUGACCUCAUUAACACAAAACCUUGACACAUAAUCUCAUAUAUCUAAUAAAGCUAAAAUAAUUUGAUACUUUGUUUAAAUGAAGUGUCAGGUUGUUUCUAAUUUUGUUAGCGGCUAUAAAUUUCACGGUAAUAAUGAAAUGAAAAAUUUACUUUAAAUUUAGGACUCUCAUUUUCAAACAAUGGGAAUUCAUGAUUUGACAUAUUGUCAGCAUUUGAUAUAUUCACAUAUAAACUGGUAUAUAGCCAUAACCAAGUUCAUCAUUGUAAUACAGUCAAUCAGUGUCGGUUUAUCAAAUAAAUUGGAUAAAAAUUGAAAUCGAUUAAUAAACAACAAUAUUACAUUCUCACCCUUGUUAAGAGGGAAAACAAAACACCCAAUUAAGAAAUGUCAAGAACCAUAGCCAGAUUCAUAUUUGUAUCACUAUAAUAUGUGAUACCAUGUAGACAAUAAAAAUAAUAAUCUAGGCAUACAUAUAUCAUUUAAACAGCAAGUGUAACAACCAACAAAUCAACAAAAAAAAAUAACGAAAAGUUUUUAACAAAAAGAGACAAUCACAACCUUAUACAUAUAACCAUCAAGUUGACAGUUCCAAAAAUGCAUUUAAAACUGCAAAAUCUAAAUAAAAAGGCAUUAAUGAUGUUUAUUGGACAGUUAGCGUUCAAAUAAAGCCUUAAAAACAAGCUGGUUAAAUUGGCACAGAUAAUCGACUUGGAUUAUUCCAUUGCACAUAUCUGUUUGAAAAGAAGCAAGCAUGGUGCGUGUUCAAUACUUUGCAAUUAAUUUCAUCAAUAGACAUAGUCUUUGCCAAGUUUAAUUGGAGGGAAGAACAACCUAUUCCCCUCCACCAAAAAUAAACUCCACUGAAUUCAAGCCCAGAAACUGAAUUUGAUACCAGAAAAGAGAAACAUUAAUAUCAUUUUAUGGGAUUUUAAAAUUACUACUAAGAAAGACAAAGAGCACUAAUAAUAAUAUCAUUUUUUGGGAUUUUAAAAUUACUACUAAGAAAGACAAAGAGCACUAAUAAUAUCAAAAGAGUUGGCAGAAAUAAAACCUAGCUUCGACCCUUAUUUUCUCUUUAGAAAUAGAAAAUAGGUCCUGAAAAGGUAAGUAUUCAGUCAUACUCUCAAGCGGUCUCGCUCUGAGGAUUGGCAUAGGCUAAAAACAAACUAGAUAGGAGAUAACUUAACUAUUAUUAAUGUGCAUAAGAUAAUCAUCACUAUUAAAAAUAUUUGAAAGCACAAACAAAAAUAAAUGGUGUAUUAAUAUUAUAGCUACUAGGAACACAGAUCUAGCAGAGUGAAGACAUAAAAAAGGAAAAAGUAUGCUUCAACAAGAAUUAAGUCUAGAUCUCAGAUAUAUGGAAGUCGAAAAACAGGAUUUCAUACAUUUAAACAACAAAUCACAACAUUAACAUAAAUUUUCACAAAAUCCUGCAAAGAUUCUAUUAAGCAAAUUAUUUGCUUAACAUAAAGAUAAGUAAAAGGGUAUUUUAGUAAUUUCGCACAAACAUUUAGCAAAUAACUUUAGCAAGUAAAGACUGCACAAUAUCCUGCAAAGAUUCUAUUAAGGGACAGAUUAUAAAAUCUAUUAGCUACAAUAUGGUAUUUCAAUAUAGUGGAUUAACCUCUUUAUUACCCGUGGACAUAGUCCAAAAGCAAACCACAUAAUUCUUGUAUUCUUAUCUGUUAUGUUUUCCGUUUUCAUUGUUUGUUUAGGAUAAUAAUUGUGUUUUUUAUAACAAUAAUCUGUGGGUAACAAAACAAACAAAAAGGUAAUGUAGAUGGUGUUGAGCAGUAAAGAGAAAGAACUUAUUGCAAACAAUAUUUGUUUAAGUUUGAAUAUAUGCUCUGAUAAUGUAAUUUUUGUCCAUGUCUCACCAAAAAGCCCAUUUGAUUCCCAUGUGAUUAUGUAGCUAUUAUUGAACUUUAUGUGGUUAAGCCUCGUAACUUUCAAACCAGGUAGAUAGAUAAGGUAGUAUUUCGUACCUCUCCAAAAGCAGUAUUGAAUUCCCUCUGUUGGCAGGCCUAACAUACAUCGCGAUUCAUGUUGAGUCAGUUUUCCAAAUCACUACUCUAGUUCAAAAUUCAAAAGAAAUAAGUCAAUUAUGAACGAAUUAUAAUUCCUUUUACCAUUAAAAAUUGAUUUUACAAAGGUUACAAAGUACACUACAGAUUUAAUUCCAUUACUCGCCGCUGCAGCUUCCAAGUUUGUGGUUAGAUUUGAAUGUAGUGUCUGCAUCACAAAUAUCAGAUCAUUAUAUGUAGCCAAUUGAUAAGUAUCAAUCACCUAUAAACAUCAAGAAAUUAUUGAUCUGUAAUCACCAACAAUUACUUCAAUUAAAAAUGAUAAUUUUUCAGCCUCUAUGUUGGUACACCUCCACAGGGUCACAAGAGAACACAAAAUUAGGUCCUUAAUCCAAAUUAAUAGUAUCUUCAGUCAUUAAAAUAAAUAAAUAAGAAAACACUUAAGUCACAAUUACUUGGACCGAGUAUUUUCUAAACAGAAGUCUGUAUAUCAGUAGCUACCUUGUUUUUCCUCUUGGCCUAUGUUUAAGUCAGAGAAGAAUUGAGACAAGACUGAGCACUACCAUAUGGAUGAUUGUACAAGAUCAAACUGAUAUCUGAUGACAGCAACGAUACAUCAGUACCACAAAAAAAAAAUACAAAAAAAAACAAUAUGCUUCCUAUAUGUAUAUGACCAACAAAUUAGUCAAGUACCAUUGUUGAAAUUGUAACAACUAUCUGCCAAACAACAUGCUUACAAUUGAAGAAAACCCUCCAUAUCAGCACUCUAAAAUACCAAGCUAAAAAUGAAAAGAACUAUAAAACAAAAGAAAAGAUAAACACACACCCAUUAUACAAAGAAGAUUUUUUAGGUACUAACAUUAAAAUGGCAUUUCCUUACAGCUGGGUACAACCUACCCUUUCCAAUUUUCAAGGAAGCAUCCUGGAUGGCAUCAUUCUGCUUCUUAAAGGAUUCUUAGAACAAUUAAAAGUGCCUCAAAUUAUGUGGAACUCUUCUCCUCUUCUACUCUUUAUGGUUGAUUUAAUUAUGUAAAUUAUACUUAAAUUAUCUUAUAAUUCAUGUAUGCUUACUAUUUUACCAAAAUCACCACUCAAUUCUCAUGUUUUAGCAAAAUAGCCUCAUUUAGGAAUUUUAACAAACAUGUGAUAUACAUGUUUAUAAAGCUCAGAUUUCAUGUAAAUUCAAACAUGUGAACAUCCAAACUCUAUAAAAUCCCUCCUUAUAUCUUCAGAAUCCAUCAAUACAACAUCCCACAAUAACAAUUCAGAAUAAUAACAAACAUUAAUUAUCAAAUUUCUAUAAACUAAGCAAGAGAACAUAUCAUACCUCUUAUUUGGUAUUAUAACCAAAUCUUUACUUUCAAACUUGGAAGCCCUUCAAAGUCAGAAGCAUCCUAGCAAACCCUAACAUUUGCAUCCAAAACAUCAGAUUCCGCCAUCCCAAUCAUAGAUUCGCCUAAACCAUUAAGGGGAAUAGUCGAAUCCGAGGGGUUAGAAAACCCAAUAAAUGGCAUACCAACCAGAAGAACAAAAGACUAGGGUAACCCCUCCGAGAGGAGAGAGGGGCUCACCAUAUGAGCUGAGAUCAGAAUCAGAAGAAUGGAAAAAACGAAAACGAUAGAUGAUCAUAUAGGAAAAAAAGUAGAGAGAAGGGAGAGCGAAAAUACUAGACAGAAAGAAAUAGUUGAUCUUGUAAUUUAUUAAAGGCGUAAAAUGCAAA
rnacentral:lncRNA from 1 species